ACAAACACAUAGCUACACACACAUAUAAACACACAUUAAAAUAAUUAAGCCACCCAGCAGGUCCUUACCUUCUGCUGGCUGUGGCUGGUGGGAGUUUGGGGCCGCCACUCCCGCACAGCUGUGUGAGUGAGCUGGGAGGAAGUAAUACGCUGUCACUUCCUCCCAUCUCUCUGUGCACGAUAGAAGAGGCCCGGUCGUGCUGUUAAAGCACCACAGCACACGACCGGGUCCCUCAUAUGCC